UGGUGGAGCGAUCUGUCUGGUUAAUUCCGAUAACGAACGAGACUCUGUCCUGCUAAAUAGGCGGGUUUUUCGUCGCCUGCCGGCUCGGUGCGCGGUUCUGCCGUGUGCCGGUCGGCAGUCACCGACGGAACGAUAUCCUCGAAAGCGGUUGGCUGUCGUAAGUGGCGUUGGCGUUGUUGCGGUGGUUUGUUUCGGCAGGUCGCCGCGGCAGUCGCCUGCGUUACCCGACAGUUUUGCUGCCAAUGGGCUAUCGCCGGCUGAUAAAGCUUAAACUCUUCUUAGAGGGACAGGCGGCGGACAAAACUAGCCGCACGAGACUGAGCGAUAACA
rnacentral:rRNA from 1 species